CUUGUACAACCAAAACUUCAAACACAAACAGUAGAAUACGCUUGAACGUUGUUGCUUUAUUACCACCAGAGCUUGGAGCGGGAACGUUGGGCUUGAACGUUGUUGCUUUAUUACCAGAGCUUGGAGCGGGAACGUUGGAGCUUUAUGCCAGCUAGGCUAGCCGUUGGGAGAUUCAUACAAUAACCUUACAUGAAGGAUUCAUACAAUAAUCUUAUAUACAAAGAGCUAAAAUUAGAGGCAAUUGGGGGAUUGAUACAGUCGUAAUCUAUACGGCCAUUGGAAGAUUCAUACAAUAAUCUUUAUGGCCUCAAAGUGAAGGAGAAAGAAGGGGCAAAUAAAACCAGGGCAAGAGAGGGAACUCGCAGUGGGACUGGAAUUUGUGUGUAAUCUUUUUAUUGGAGUGUUGCAUCAUUCCAAAACAUUUAUCAGAAGGUGCUUACAGCUGAUGGAUUGCACCAUCAAACGAUAUCUUUUUUUGAAAGAUUUAGAAACUAAGUCCCAGAUGAAGAUCCAAAUCUGCAAUGAACUUUUUCAUUCGUAGAGGCAUUGUUCCUAUAAAGGGCUUCACAGUGAGCUGGUUGUGAAUAAUCAGGUAUCUUUAUCAGAAGGUGCCUAUAGCUGUUAUAUUGCACCAUCAAAUGAUUUUAUCUCUUUGAAAGAUUUAGAAACUAAGUCCCAGCUGAAGAUCCAAAUAUGCAAUGAGCUUCUUCAUUUGUAGAGGCAUUGUUCCUAUAAAGGGUUUGAGAGUGAGAUGUUCGUGAUUAAUCAGUGACAAUUUGAAAGAAGGUUUGGACAAGUGAGAACUUGAACAGGUGAAUUCAUUGGAGGAUUUGUGCACAACAACGAGAAAUUGAACAUGAAGACUUUAAAGAAGGGAUCACCUUAUAGUAUUAUUUAAUAGUGGAAUGGAAGUAUAAUUUGAUUAUUUAUAUUUAUUGUAAACAUUCCUCAACAAUUAUAAUUAAUAAAGAUAAACCAUUUU